rnacentral:rRNA from 1 species
GUGGAUUGGCUAAGGAGUUUGUAAAAACUCUAACGUUAAGCGUGCUUGAGUGAGACUAGUAUUAGGAUGGGUGACCUCUUAAGAAGUCUCACCAAAUCCAUC